UCUCUGACUGGGGGGCAUUCAGGAGAAGGGGACAUGUGAGUGACGCCCGGUGGCUUAAGAGAGAAGAAGUUGGCAGCCUGAAAGGGAGGGAGACAGAAAGCAGGGCUCUUCAAUAUGGGCAUUCAUGUCCCAGUGACAGCAGCUAUUUAUCAUGCCCUGAAUGGGAGUGCAGGGCCCAGUGUGCCGCCAAAGGCCUCUGGUUAAAGUUUUACCUGCGUGUGAAAGGGGCUGGGGCUUCCCUAGGCUGCGGGGGCGGCCCCUGGGGGCCCAUCUGUUCGGAGCAGAAAGACUCUGACGCCAGAGGAGGGGCCGUAGAACAGGACAUUUCCGGGUGCGGGGACCCCUCCAGGCGUCCCAGGCCAGCAGGGGAAGGGGUCUGCCUCACACGGGGGCCUGGAGAGGCCUGCUCCAGGCACUGAAAUAGGAGCCUGGCCCCAAAUCAAUCUGUGAGCCUGCCCCAGGUGGGGGUGGGCUGGGCAAGUCGGUACAGGGGCACGUUUUGGCAGGUGAUGUCACUGGUGCCCAGCUCAGGGUUUUUUGGGUAAUAUUAUUUAGUACUUACCACGUGUCAGGCACCUUAUAUAUAAAUAUACACACAUAUUUAGUUAGGGUGACGACCUCUGUUUGUUAUCUGGGAAGCAAGGGGUUUGUAGGGUGCAGGACUUUCAGUGCCAAAUCUGGGAUAGUUUUGGGCAAAACAGGACAGACGGUUAUUAACCUGCAGGUUAAUUUGAACAUUAAUUCAUUUGUUCUCAAAGCAGCUCUUGGAAGGAGGUGACACAUUUACCUCCAUUUAUGAGUGAGGAGCCAGAAGAAAGAGGGGGGCGAUGAGCUGAGGCCACAAAGCCAGGGAGCAAGAGAGCUUGGGUCUGGAGUUAAGUGGUCUGGUUUCCAAGUCCGAGCUCCCAGCCCUCCACCGUGCUGCCCGGGGCCUGGAGGAAACCCCGUGUGCUGAGCGGGUUUUCUGAACUGAAAAACCAGGAUGAGGAGCUCCUGCCGGAGGCCAUGCUCACUGGCCCAUUCCAGCUCCAACACAGACCCCUUGCCUCUCCGUAUGCUGGUGGGACCUUGCUGGGCUUGGUAAUCACACUUGGAGAAGCCACAUGAAUCAUCCAUUCAACACACGCAAAGCAUUUGUGCUGAUACCUAUUCUGGGCUUUGCUCUGUGUUAGGCUCAGCGUGCACCAGCGGAAAUAUGACAUGGUCCCUGCCGCAUGGGGCUUGGGAAUAGAACACGUGUUACUGGCUCAGCACUGGCCGCCAUCAUCAACGAGCAGAAGGAAGUCCCAUGUAGCUUCCGUGUCAACUGAUGUACUGUGACUCUCCCAUUCCUCAGCUUGUGUGGCCCUGACUCAUGGCUCAGGCUUCUGCAAGGCUCCAGCCUCGGGCCUUCCCUGUGAGACUCAGCAAACACUCACAGAGCGUCCAUCUGCCCGGGCACUUUGCAAAUGGCUCGCGUGCAAUGCUCACUCAAUCCUGGGUGAAAGGGGCAGGCCUGCUCAAGGUGUCUUAGCCACAAAGUGGCAGGGUAGGAUUCAAACCCAGGUCUGCUUCUGAGGCCAGAGGCCCCAGGAGAUGAGGCGGGACCACUUGGUCCCCGGGCUAGUGGGCAGGAGCUAGUGGAUGCUAGGAGCCAGCCUCCUCUGGAGCUCUUAGGAGGGAUCCAGAUUAAUCUUUAUGAAUAACUUAAUAAUUAUUAAUCCUCAGGAGGCUACUGAUGUGGCAGGGCUCUGAGUUUGGCUGUUUUUCUUCUUCUCCCACACUUGCCUCCCACAGCCACUCGUUCUGGGCCUGGGGAUGGGAGGUGGGGGUGUUCCCAUCAAAAGAGCCCUCUUUCUGGGGCGCCUGGGUGGCUCAGUCGUUAAGCGUCUGCCUUCGGCUCA